GCCACCGUGGUCUAGUGGUUAGCACUGCCGUUUUGCAAACUGGCAUCGCGGGUUCAAUCCCGCUCGGGGCG